UAGAGCAUGACAAAUUAGAUUUUUCCUCCUGAUUUUCAACUUUUUCCUCUUAAAAGAAAUUCAAAUCCAACUAAAAAUACUAAAAAUUAGGAGAAAAAGUUUGAUUUGUCAUGCUGAUCUU
rfam:Gossypium raimondii Chr13_contig_1162, whole genome shotgun sequence.